rnacentral:rRNA from 1 species
GGGGAAUAUUGCGCAAUGGGGGCAACCCUGACGCAGCCAUGCCGCGUGAAUGAAGAAGGCCUUCGGGUUGUAAAGUUCUUUCGGUAGCGAGGAAGGCAUUUAGUUUAAUAGACUAGGUGAUUGACGUUAACUACAGAAGAAGCACCGGCUAACUCCGUGCCAGCAGCCGCGGUAAUACGGAGGGUGCGAGCGUUAAUCGGAAUAACUGGGCGUAAAGGGCACGCAGGCGGUGACUUAAGUGAGGUGUGAAAGCCCCGGGCUUAACCUGGGAAUUGCAUUUCAUACUGGGUCGCUAGAGUACUUUAGGGAGGGGUAGAAUUCCACGUGUAGCGGUGAAAUGCGUAGAGAUGUGGAGGAAUACCGAAGGCGAAGGCAGCCCCUUGGGAAUGUACUGACGCUCAUGUGCGAAAGCGUGGGGAGCAAACAGGAUUAGACACCCUGGUAGUCCACGCUGUAAACGAUGUCGAUUUGGGGGUUGAACUUUGAGUUUGGCGCCCGUAGCUAACGUGAUAAAUCGACCGCCUGGGGAGUACGGCCGCAAGGUUA